AUUGAACGCUGGCGGCAGGCCUAACACAUGCAAGUCGAGCGGAUGAAGGGAGCUUGCUCCUGGAUUCAGCGGCGGACGGGUGAGUAAUGCCUAGGAAUCUGCCUGGUAGUGGGGGAUAACGUCCGGAAACGGGCGCUAAUACCGCAUACGUCCUGAGGGAGAAAGUGGGGGAUCUUCGGACCUCACGCUAUCAGAUGAUCCUAGGUCGGAUUAGCUAGUUGGUGGGGUAAAGGCCUACCAAGGCGACGAUCCGUAACUGGUCUGAGAGGAUGAUCAGUCACACUGGAACUGAGCCACGGUCCAGACUCCUACGGGAGGCAGCAGUGGGGAAUAUUGGACAAUGGGCGAAAGCCUGAUCCAGCCAUGCCGCGUGUGUGAAGAAGGUCUUCGGAUUGUAAAGCACUUUAAGUUGGGAGGAAGGGCAGUAAGUUAAUACCUUGCUGUUUUGACGUUACCAACAGAAUAAGCACCGGCUAACUUCGUG
rnacentral:rRNA from 1 species